rnacentral:rRNA from 1 species
UACGGAGGGUGCGAGCGUUAUUCGGAAUUAUUGGGCGUAAAGGGCGCGUAGGCGGUUUUUAAAGUCAGAUGUGAAAUCCCGGGGCUCAACCCUGGAAGUGCAUUUGAGACUUAGAGACUUGAGUAUGGGAGAGGGAAGUGGAAUUCCUGGUGUAGAGGUGAAAUUCGUAGAUAUCAGGAGGAACACCGGUGGCGAAGGCGACUUCCUGGACCAAUACUGACGCUGAGGCGCGAAGGCGUGGGGAG